UACGAAGGGGGCUAGCGUUGCUCGGAAUCACUGGGCGUAAAGGGUGCGUAGGCGGCUUUUUAAGUCAGGGGUGAAAUCCUGGAGCUCAACUCCAGAACUGCCUUUGAUACUGGAAGUCUUGAGUCCGGAAGAGGUAAGUGGAACUGCGAGUGUAGAGGUGAAAUUCGUAGAUAUUCGCAAGAACACCAGUGGCGAAGGCGGCUUACUGGUCCGGUACUGACGCUGAGGUGCGAAAGCGUGGGGAGCAAACAGGG
rnacentral:rRNA from 1 species